AGAUCUCUAUGGUUGUCUAUUAGGGGUGUGUGGUAUCUAUAGAUCUCUAUGGUUGUCUAUUAGGGUUUAUGGUGUCUAUAGAUCUCUAUGGUUGUCUAUAGGGUUUAUGGUAUCUAUAGAUCUCUAUGGUUGUCUAUUAGGGGUUUAUGGUAUCUAUAGAUCUCUAUGGUUGUCUAUUAGGGUUUAUGGUGUCUAUAGAUCUCUAUGGUUGUCUAUUAGGGGUUUAUGGUGUCUAUAGAUCUCUAUGGUUGUCUAUUAGGGGUGAAAGACGAACUACUGCGAAAGCAUUUGCCAAGAAUGUUUUCAUUAAUCAAGAACGAAAGUUAGAGGAUCGAAGACGAUCAGAUACCGUCCUAGUUCUAACCAUAAACGAUGCCGACUAGGGAUCAGAGAGUGUUAUUGGAUGACCUCUUUGGCACCUUAUGGGAAACCAAAGUUUUUGAGU
rnacentral:ncRNA from 1 species